AUUGAACGCUGGCGGCAGGCCUAACACAUGCAAGUCGAGCGGAUGAAGGGAGCUUGCUCCUGGAUUCAGCGGCGGACGGGUGAGUAAUGCCUAGGAAUCUGCCUGGUAGUGGGGGAUAACGUCCGGAAACGGGCGCUAAUACCGCAUACGUCCUGAGGGAGAAAGUGGGGGAUCUUCGGACCUCACGCUAUCAGAUGAGCCUAGGUCGGAUUAGCUAGUUGGUGGGGUAAAGGCCUGCCAAGGCGACGAUCCGUAACUGGUCUGAGAGGAUGAUCAGUCACACUGGAACUGAGACACGGUCCAGACUCCUACGGGAAGCAGCAGUGGGGAAUAUUGGGCGAUGGGCGAAAGCCUGAUCCAGCCAUGCCGCGUGUGUGAAGAAGGUCUUCGGAUUGUAAAGCACUUUAAGUUGGGAGGAAGGACAGUAAGUUAAUACCUUGCUGUUUUGACGUUACCAACAGAAUAAGCACCGGCUAACUUCGUG
rnacentral:rRNA from 1 species